rnacentral:rRNA from 1 species
AAGACCUUGCGCUUUUGGAGCGGCCGAUGCCUGAUUAGCUUGUUGGUAAGGUAAAAGCUUACCAAGGCUUCGAUCAGUAGCUGGUCUGAGAGGACGACCAGCCACACUGGGACUGAGACACGGCCCAGACUCCUACGGGAGGCAGCAGUGGGGAAUUUUGGACAAUGGGGGCAACCCUGAUCCAGCCAUGCCGCGUGAGUGAAGAAGGCCUUCGGGUCGUAAAGCUCUUUCAGCCGGAACGAAACGGUUACGGUUAAUACCCGUGAUUACUGACGGUACCGGAAGAAGAAGCACCGGCUAACUACGUGCCAGCAGCCGCGGUAAUACGUAGGGUGCGAGCGUUAAUCGGAAUUACUGGGCGUAAAGCGUGCGCAGGUGGUUUUGUAAGUCAGAUGUGAAAGCCCCGGGCUCAACCUGGGAACU